rnacentral:rRNA from 1 species
UUAAAGUUGUUGCAGUCAAAAAGCUCGUAGUUGAACCUUGGGCCUGGUUGGCCGGUCCGCCUCACCGCGUGCACUGGUCCGGCCGGGCCUUUCCUUCUGGGGAGCCGCAUGCCCUUCACUGGGUGUGUCGGGGAACCAGGACUUUUACUUUGAAAAAAUUAGAGUGUUCAAAGCAGGCCUAUGCUCGAAUACAUUAGCAUGGAAUAAUA